GACGAACGCUGGUGGCGUGCUUAACACAUGCAAGUCGAGCGGUAAGGCCCUUUCGGGGGUACACGAGCGGCGAACGGGUGAGUAACACGUGGGUGACCUGCCCUCAGCUCUGGGAUAAGCCUGGGAAACCGGGUCUAAUACUGGAUAUGACUCCAUGACGCAUGUUGUGGGGUGGAAAGCCUUGUGCGGCUGAGGAUGGGCCCGCGGCCUAUCAGCUUGUUGGUGGGGUGAGGCCUACCAAGGCGACGACGGGUAGCCGGCCUGAGAGGGCGACCGGCCACACUGGGACUGAGACACGGCCCAGACUCCUACGGGAGGCAGCAGUGGGGAAUCUUGCGCAAUGGGCGAAAGCCUGACGCAGCGACGCCGCGUGAGGGAUGACGGCC
rnacentral:rRNA from 1 species